rnacentral:lncRNA from 1 species
UGAAGGGUAAAUCUCAUCUAAUCCUUCUCUAUAAUUACUCAAUAAAUAAAAGGUUUGCUUCCCUAUGUCAUUGGAGAUUCAUACUAUAAGUAUCUUUCAAAUGUCGGAAAAUAAAAUGCAACUAUACUAAUAGCAAGUUGCUAGUGUUCUUGAGCAUUUAGAAUUUGUUUGGAUGCCAUGUUGUAACCUUUGGUGAUUUCUUUUGUUGCUUUUGAUUCCACAAUUUUCUUGUUUUGUGUGAACAAUGAGUAAUGUAUUGCUUUUACUAUCGACUUUAUUUUUCUUUCAAUAAAAUGGAUUUGUUUUAUUGCGUAUACCUAAGAAAAUAUAGCAGAUCCCUAACAAAAGAAAAUGAAAAGAGUGCUGAUAAUGCUUUUCUAUGGAAAAAAGUAAGAUAGACUGACUAAGGAUGCUUUCAAGUAAUUUUUAAAACAAGGGUUACAACACGUGUGAUAAUAUAAUGGAUGAUUGGGUUGAUAAAUUCUAUUUUAAGUAUGACUCAUAUAAAACGGAUUCACUGCCACCUGAAAACCCUAGUUAUAUAACGAUGGCCUGAAACCUGCUGGAUAAAAGAGGCGCGAUGAAUAAAGGGUAAAGGGAGAAGAUGGGUUUAUGUUGUCAAUUCUGCUUCGUCGUGAGGGAGGCAUGCAGGCAAUGGGGGAUCCAAGAUUCGAAACUUGGGUGUCCCAACAUUAAAAGUUCACGUUUUUUAAAGAAAAAAAGCGCGGAGCGCGUUAAAAAAAUUCAUUUUAUCCAAUUGAGGCAUUUCGUCGAACACUUAAUGGGCUUAUUGACGAAACCAAAUCAUGUUGUUGCCUAUAUGUCAACAAGUUACAAUAUAUGUUGAAGCAAUCUGGUGAAUGCUAUUGAGAAUAUAUGUCGAGUGAUGUUGAUGCAGCCUGUUGAGAUAUGCGUACGUACCAAACAAUCAAAGGAUCUUCAGAUGACCUUCAUAUGCGUGUUUUUGUAACAUCCCACAUCGUCCAGGGGAGUGGAUCAUGUAAGCCUUAUAUGUAUAUUCUCAUCUCUACCUAGCACGAGGCCUUUUGGGAACUCAUUGACUUCAGGUUCCAUCAGAACUUCGAAGUUAAGCGAGUUCACGCAAGAGCAAUCCCAGGAUGGGUGACCCACUAGGAAGUUAUCGUGUGAGUUCCCAGAAACAAAACCGUGAGGGCGUGGUCGAUGCCCAAAGCGGACAAUAUCGUGUUACGGUAGAGUCGAGCCCUGGAUGUGGUGGGGGCCCGGGCCGGAAUGUGACAGUUUUCCACCCUCCGAGUGGUCCUAGGACCACUUUGGUUCCAAUUUACAUCCACCCUUGCGGUGGGUGGAGUUCAAGAACUCUUGUUGUUGCCUGGCUUUUUUUGCUUAUCCAUUUAUGUAUCUUAUAUGUAUAUUCUCAUCUCUACCUAGCACGAGACCUUUUGGGAACUCAUUGACUUCAGGUUCCAUCAGAACUUCGAAGUUAAGCGAGUUCACGCAAGAGCAAUCCCAGGAUGGGUGACCCACUAGGAAGUUAUCGUGUGAGUUCCCAGAAACAAAACCAGGGGAGUGGAUCCUGUAAGCCUUAUAUGUAUAUUCUCAUCUCUACCUAGCACGAGGCCUUUUGGGAACUCAUUGACUUCAGGUUCCAUCAUAACUUUGAAGUUAAGCGAGUUCACGCAAGAGCAAUCCCAGGAUGGGUGACCCACUAGGAAGUUAUCGUGUGAGUUCCCAUAAACAAAACCGUGAGGGCGUGGUCGAUGCCCAAAGCGGACAAUAUCGUGUUACGGUAGAGUCGAGCCCUGGAUGUGGUGGGGGCCUGGGCCGGAAUGUGAUAGUUUUCCACCCUCCGAGUGGUCCUAGGACCACUUUGGUUCCAAUUUACAUCCACCCUUGCGGUGGGUGGAGUUCAAGAACUCUUGUUGUUGCGUGGCUUUUUUUGCUUAUCCAUUUAUGUAUCUUAUAUUUUGUUUUCUUAAGUAAAUGACUAGGGGUGUGCUAUCCACACACCAUUUUUUACUUCUCAUAUAUCCUCUUAAUUUUCGGUCGUCGGAUCGAAUGAAUUGAAGAAUAUCAAAUAACAAAAAUUAAUAAGAGGUGUGAGAAGUAAAAAGGGGUGUGUGUAUAUCACAACCCAAAUGACUAAUGUUGAUGGGGGAAAAUAUGAAUGGCUAAUAUCAUUUUGAUGUCAUCUAGUCAUCACAAUCUAAUAAUCUAGUCUCAUCUAAGACUAAUAUAUAGAAGUAAAGAUAAGUAUAUGAAAAACAUUUCAUCGUUAUAAGUUAAUGGGAGCUAAAAUAGUAUUUGAGAUUAGGAUAACGCUCACUUUAGUCCUGAUAAUAAAAUUCGAUAAAAAUGAUCUGGUCGUGAAAAUUAUUUUAAAUUUUCAGAAAAAAAUAUGUCAAUCUUCUAAUAACUUUUUCUUGUAGUAUUCACCGGAAAGAAGAAGAAGAAGAAGAAGAAUGAAAGAGUUAUGAAACCUUUUUAUGUAAUAUUCACAGGAAAGAAUGAGUUAUAAAAUACCUUUUCGGCUAAGUCAAACCAGCAGCAGCAGCACGCCUUAUCUCACUCGAAGCUCCCUCUGGUUCUCACACUUGCCGUCCCUCCAGUUUGUCAAGUUCGCGCCUUUGGCUUCACAAGGAUUUUUUUGGUUUCAUAAACAUGUUCUUUAAAAACGCUUUCAAUCAUAUUAAAAGUACUUCCAAAUGAGUCUAAAUUAAAAAUAUCUUCUUCACCUACUGUCUCUCAAGUCGGCAUCAUCCCCUUCCUUUCUCCAUCUCUCCCAAUCGUUCAGUCCCCUUUACUCCUCUUUAGUUUUUAGUUUUUUUCCUUUUCGCGUAUGAAUAAGGGAGAGGGACUCAUUUCAAAAUUAUCACAGUCGUUGUAAAAUUUUAUAUGAAAAAAGCUUCAUGCGUUCAAGAAGAGGGAAUCCCAAUUUUCAAAACAGCACAAUCUUAAAGGAUCUCUUUCCCCUGCAAUGCUAUUUUCAACAAAUUUUCAUUGCUUUCACAUUUACUCCGGAGAAAACUGGUAGGUAGUCUUCACCAGAAAGAAAAAGAAAGAAGAGGGAAAGAAAGAAACUCAUAACUCAUAAUCCCAUCAUAGCCUAAUUUUAGUGUUGGAAAUGGAGUCGUGCUUGGAUUAUUUAUUUAUUUAUAUUGGUGUCAUGUUUCGUGUUAAUAAAUUGUAAAAUUGAUAAUAUAUAAGGAUUUUUUUGGCCAAAAUAGUUCAUGAGAUUGAUAUAAAUUCUCAUUUUGAACCAUAAUAAUGAAAUUCAAUAUAAGUGGUCUCUGAAUUUGUUCACUGUAAAUCAUUUUGGUCAUUUUAUAAAAAAAUCUAUCAAUAUCAAUGUUAAGGGGAGAGUAUGGCUCGACAAAAAUACCAUUUAAAAGGUGAUCACAUAGUUGUUCACGUGAUAAUUUAACGAUUUUUCACAGAAUGAUCAAAAUAAUUUAUAGUGAAUAAACUUAUACUUGUCAACAAAGCUAUGAAGAACAAUCAAGAAAGUAGAGAGAGAAAGUACUCAAGAGAAUAGAAUUGUAUAACAAACUUAUUUGUGUAACAAUUACAAGACUUUCCCCUAUUUAUAACUACAUUUACCAUAACUACCUCAAAACAUAUCCACUAAUACAUUGACAAGCGGUACACUUUACAAUUUGGCACUUGUCAUAUUACAAGCAACCUACAAUCUUUAUAGUCUAACAAUACGUACCAACUAUCAACUUCAUUGUAACAAACUAUAAUGAAGAGUUAUAUCAAUCUUAGAAACCUUUCAUAAUAUAAUAAUAUAUCGACUCAUAUUAAACAUAAAAAAGUUAUCAUUUUGUGAGUAUAAUAUUAUGUGAACAGUGGAUGAUGUGUUUGUCGUUUUAAUUGUGUACGCAUUGUGAAGCCAAAAAUAAUCAAGAGGCGACACGUGCAUUUUUGAGUAAGGAAAAGACAAAAUUACCCUCGAUGCACAUCAGAUUUCCUACGCGCGAGCAGUGGACAAUCAUCUGUCAAUCAAGUCAAAAAUGUCCAAAAUAUGUAACAAAUUCAAAGUUAUUUCAUCCAUCCUCAUCCUAUAUUUUCCACAAGGUAAUUAUUUCAUAACCUUCAAAACAUUCCAAAUAAAUUGAGUUAAUUGGCUAAUUAAUGGAUUUAUUCCUAAUUAAUCCAUUAAUUACCAAUUAAAUCACUCAUUUCACACAAAAAUACCCCAAAGGGCGGGCCUCCUUUUCUCUAAAGGGGGACUGGCCAUGCUCUAUAUAUUGAACCCCAUUUUCUUUAAAAACCUAAGUCCACACUCUUGCAAAACUCCAAAAACUCUCUAAAUAUUUUUCUCCUAAAUUCUAAUUUUGGCAUCGGAGGUUCUUCGGUCAAAACCCCCCUCCCCCAUUCAUCGUGGGUGCGUGAGGCUCUUGGUUUUGACCCUAAGGUGUUAAUUGUUUUGCAGGUGCAAUUUUGUCCAAGAAGGAGAUGGAAAUUUGCAUCCACACGCAUCACAUCGUGCAUUCGUACAAGUUUAGAGUUGCAAUAACGUGUUGUGUCUAAAAUUACUAUCUGUAUGCAGUUUCAUACAAAACCAUUUUACAUAAUCGUCUUUCUCUCCCUCUCUUGUUUUUCUUUGAACAACUCAUUUUAUCAACCCUUAUGCUGGGUUUGGAUCGAAAUGUAUGUUUGGAAUUUUAGUCCAAACCAUAGUUCUAAUCAUACUCACGAGGUGAACCACCACUGAGUAGUAUAGUAGUUGGGAACGAAUUUCAAACUCAUAUUUCACACGGUAUGUCCUGUGUUUGAUUUCUGGCAUUGCUGAAUCGCACGAUGCUGAUCAUGAGGAAGUUAAAAUGCUUCUGUGAGUUUUUCUUACUCCUGAAAGAGUGUAUUGUCGUAAUGAAACUACGAGCUAAUCCUUUUUCAGAAAAGAAUAAAAUAAAAUCAUACUCACCUCCGAAUCUGAUUGAGAUCAAACACUAAACACGUAGAAUUAAUUUUGAUUGUUUAGUUUCUUUGCCUCCUUCACUAUAAUUAAAUCAAAUGAAAAAUUCUCAAGUACCUAGCUACCUUGUCCACACCAAAAAAUUAAUAAAAUUUGUAUCUCUGUAUAUCUACAGGUAGCGGUAGCUAUCUUGUGACUGUAUUAACAAGUGGUCUGUUCGCAACAGAUAUUGGAGAAUCGAUUCCCGACACAUGAAACGUCUGACUUUCACCAUUCUUAAUUUCUAAUAUUUUUUUUUUUUGUUUUUUGGGUAACCAAAAGGAGAUUGGAGAUGCAACACGAGAACUUUCUAGGAUGUCACACAUUUUAGUACUAUUGUCAUCCAAACUCGCUUAAUUUCGGAGUUUUAAUCAGAUCCGAUGCAUGUAAGUUGGUAGUACUACUCUAACCAAAUAAUUUUUUCAUGAUGUCCUAUCUAUACCUAAAGUUCACUAGCUUUUAUUCAUCGGAUUCAAACUUAGUCAUGAUAUUUUAUAGCAAAGUGAGAAGAUAAUGCAUUUUUUUAGUAUCUCUCCACUUGUAUUAUGACACAUAAUGUGCCUUUUUUAUUUUUUAUUUUUUUAUUUUAUAUAUAUAUAUAUAUAUAUAUAUAUAUAUAUAUAUAUCAACGAUAAUGAAAAUUUCUACGUUCACAUUUCCGUGGUGAGAAUGAAAAAUAUUACAAUGCUAGAAGCUAGUUAGCAAGGAUAUAGGAAUCCCAUUGCAGAGGAAGGACAAAUAAGUUGAAAAGGAAAAGAAAAGAGCAACGUGCAUAAUUACACAUGAACAGAGAUUUAGUAGCUGCUUAAUAUUUGUUAGUAGAUCUCGAUAAGUUAUUUUAAGGUAAAGUCUAUCGGUGGAGAAUUAGUUUUCUAUUUCACUCGCCGGUUUAUUUAUUUAUGAUUGAGUUAACUGAUUGAAAUCUUUCAACCAGAUGAGACCUAGAUGACCAGUGGAUCAACAGUUUUUAACUAGAUUAGAAAGAAUUUCUUCAGUGAUAAUAAAUUCGUCAUUAAUUUAAGGACAAAUAUGUUGAAGAGUGUAAAGUUUCACAUCAUGUUUAAUUAACUACAAUUUAUGUUAAUUGGUUUCACUACUUAUUGUAUCAAACAUUUUGUAAACAAAACCCACACUUACGGAAUUGCACUAAUGAUUAAAUUGGAGACAACAUCAAUAUUGAUUAACAUUAGUAGAAUAGUAUUUUUUUCACCUCGACUUAGGAAGAAAAGAAGGAAAGAAAUUUCUCACCCCAAGAGCGUUAAGGUGGCAAAGAGCACCAAUUGCAGUACAAUAAUAGAGUUGUAGUUAUUUGGGGCACUCUCUAAAGAGCUCGAUGGAGCCCGUUUCACACAAAAUGAUUAACAAAGAGAAAUGUUAAAGUUACUUUUUUUAAAGUAGAACUCUUUGCGAGUUUUUUAUCACUUUAUAUUUUUGGUAUAAAUUUUAUAAUGUUGGAAUAAAAAUAGAUGUUAAAUUCUAAGUUGACAGAGAAUCUAUAAAAAAUCUCACUUUUAAAAUAAUCCUUUUAACAAAUUUGGCACAUGAAUAUCGUAGUCUGAAUUUUUUUUUUUUUUUUUUUUUUUUUUGUAAAAAUGUUGACAAGUACUAGACGGCUAAACGUGUAUAAAAUUUUAACAUAAUAUUGGAGGACUCUUUUUGCCAAACAAAUAAGCUUAUGCCACCUACCAUUCUUUCAAAAUUGGCAACCCAUUUACAUUCUGCCCUACCAAUAUUUUUUGGAUUUGUAUAACUUCAUUAAAAAGACAUUUAGACAUUUUAAGUGAACAUUCCAGUGAAUUCCUUUUAUUUUUGUUAUUCUUUUGUAUUUUUGGUCAUAAAGUAACCAACAAAUACAGUAUUUCAGAUGGGGUCUUGUACCAGAUGCGUGUCGUGUAUGGACAUCUCAUUCCAUAAAAAGGACGGGGAGGAAUAGUCGUAUCACUGAAGAUAGAAAGGACAAAUGAGUUGGAAAAAAUAAAUAAAAACAAAAACAUGACAAUUAACUUGGACGAAACAAAACCACGCAUGUUUUUUAUUACUAGAUUUUCAAACAUAGGAUAUCUAUACUAUUAUUUAUCUUUACUAAUUAAUAAAAAUACUCAUUGUUAACUAAAAUUUUAUGAAAUUACUAGUUUAACUCUUUAAUUAAAACAGAACAUGAAUAAGAAAUAUGAGACAGAAAUGUAAUUUCACACAAUCAAAUUUUGCUGUUUUUUUUUCAAAGCCUCAUCUACAUGUAAUCCUAACAUAUCUUUAAUUUAAAAAAUAUAUAUAAAAAAAAAAACUUCUCACUUCCACAUUUUCUAUCACUCUCUUCCUCUCUCCUUCUAUUUCAAAAAUAAAAAAUAAAAAAAGUUCUCACAUACUUUGUAUGUGCCCAUAUGCUAAUUUAUUUAUUAAGAGAACCCUCUUUGUCAACUUUUUGCCACGUUUUUUCCUAUUUUGCCCUUACUUUUGAUACACACUAGUGACAAAAUGAGGGCAAAAUAGUUAUUUUGUACCUUUUGACAAAAUGACAACCAUAUCCCUAUUUUACCCUUUUUUAUACUUAUUUUUCUAAUUUUACCCUCACUUUUGAUACACAAUAUUUAUAUAAGGAGGACAAAACAGUAAUUAUGUAAUAUUAAAAAAAUUAUGUACUUAUUAAGAGAAAUUAUUCACACACACAAAGUGUGUGCUCACUGAUAGUCUUCUAUAAUAAUAUCGAUGGUUAGAACAUGUGUGCUCACUGUGAUCAAACCACUCUAGAUUUUGGGUUCAAUCUAAACGUGGGUUUGAAGCUAUCUAAAUCCUAAAUUUAUGUAAUAAUUUCCAACACUCUUCUCUUUCUUUAAUAAUAAUAAUAAUUUCACGGGUAGUCUAAAAAAGUGUGAAAAGCCUUACUAAUUAAUGAUAGCUCAUAUUGAAUUAUAAACUAAUUGCUACAUCGAGACCUUUUAUUAAAAAAAAAAAAUUUGACAGAAGUAUUAGAUUAAAAGGAAAACUAAUGAAAAGGGUUUGAGUUUUAAUGAUAAAGAUAAAAUAAAGAGUAAAGUGAAUAGUACCAUGAUUGACUUUUUAGUGUAAAAAUGUGAUUUUUCGUUAAAGUGAACAGUACUAGGAGUUUUUCGUUAAAGUUCCCCUAGAUUAAACGAGUAAAGUUGAAAUCUUUUAACAAGUGAUCUUCUAUCACAAUAGUGAAGAAGAGUAUUGUCUUUGCUAGACCCUGUAGCUUUUGACAUGACACAAAAACAACACGAAAAUAAGGGGUUUCGGAUCAACACGAUAACCAAUCGGCUCAUUAUCAGGUGACCCGUUAAGAACCCGUUAAUAAUGGGUUCUUAACGGGUAUACACGCGGGUAAUACGUGGGUAACUUGUUUCGACCCGUUAAGAAAAAAAUUAUUUUGAUAAUUUUAAAGUUUUAAGUACUAAAAGAUUUAUUAAAAAAUACAAUAGCCAUAUUAAUAUAUACAAUAUAUUCUAUAUUAAAUAUAUAGUUUUGUAUUAUUAUUCUAUAUAAGUUAAAAAAAAAGGUUUUAUUUAUUAUUUAUUUUUAUUAUGAGAGUUCCUUAUUAUCAUUACUAGGAUAAAUUUUACUUAAUUUGUUGUCCAAAUUAAAAUAAACUAGUAUAAUAUUUGUAUAGGCAAGAACUAAGAAAACAUACAUACAAGUAUGAAAAAUAUGAAAGAAUAUAUAAACACUCUUGAUUCAUCAGUAUUCCUCCACGAGUAGAUAAUGGUUACACUUACAUUAUCAUUUAGAUUUUGAGUAAACUGUCGAUUUGCCCCCUAAACUUUCACCGAACUUUCGAUUCCCCCCUGAACUUUUCGAUUGGAAAAUUUCCCCCCUGAACUAAUUUUUUUAGCCAAUUUGCCCCCUACCGUUAGUUUUUCAAACAUUCCAUUCAAAUUUCUGUUAAGUGAGACCAUGUGCACAACAUAUGAGGGUAGAUAAGUCAUUUCACUCUUAAAAAUGAUUAAAAAAUUGAAAAUAAAUUUUAAAAAAAAAAUUCCCUCUAUUUUUUACCUCUACCGCCGAUCUCCUUGUACCCACCAUUACCACCUCCUCCCACCCCUGAGACCCAUCAACCACCAUAUCCGGUCCUCCCCCUUCCCACACACACAGACUCCUCCUUCCCCUCUCUAUUUGUUAUUCUACGAACAAUGCAAGGAACGAAGAAAGUGGGAAGAGAGAGAGAGAGAUUUGUGAUGCAGGAAGAGGGUUGGGUCAUUGGGGUAGCAGAGGGUGGGGCCAAAUCAGGGAGUGGGGUUACAGUUGAGGGAGAUGAGGGUAGGGGGAGGAUGUCGUAGGGGUGGGUGAUGGGGGUGCGGAAAGGAAGUGGUGGUGGCUGGGGUUUUUGUAUUUUUUUCUUUUUUCUUUUCUUCGAUCUGUUUUUGUUUAAUCAUUUUUUUUAAUAAUGUAAAAUUAGUAGAAUGUUCAUGCCAUGAAGACAAUAACACCGUAUGUCAUUUUUUAUACAUAGGAAUGAGUGAAAAAUAAAAUUGAGGAUAUGAAUUAGAGGGAAAUUUUCAGUUUUUUAAUCAUUUUUAAGAAUGAAAUGACUUAACUACCCUCAUAUGUUGUGCACAUGGUCUCACUUAAUAGAAAUUUGGAUGGAAUGUUUGAAAAACUAACGGUAGGGGGCAAAUUGGCUAAAAAAAUUAGUUCAGGGGGGAAAUUUUCCAAUCGAAAAGUUCAGGGGGGAAAUCGAAAGUUCGGUGAAAGUUUAGGGGGCAAAUCGACAGUUUACUCUUUAGAUUUUUAAAAUCCUCCAAACUCUCAUGAAUAAUGUUUCUUAUUUGAGGGCAAAAUUAAUAAAAUUAAUAAUAAUUAUUGUAGAAGUGUAAAAAAUGUAAUAUAUAUAUAUAUAUAUAUAUAUAUACACACACACAAUUACUCAUAGUGACAAGCUUUACAACUUUCAUGAAAGGGUCAGCUUUGAAAUCCAACUCUAUAAUCCAUAAACCUUAAAUUUAUAUUUAACCGUCGAUUGUAUUCUUCUUAUUGAAUUUCAUUUUUUUAAUUUAUUUUUAAAACAUGAUCAUCUGGCAGAUGUAAGAAGAUGAACGGUUCAUAUAUAUCACGUUUCGAUAUUUACGGUUAACUAAAAUAUGAGUCGAUGUCAUAUAGUUUGUAGAAACUUUAUAACAAUAAGCAAUAUUUUUACUAACCGUAAAACUUUGAAUAUAAUAUCAACGAUCCAAACCGUUCAUCUUUCUGCAUACUCUAAUAGAUUAUGUUUUCAAAAAACAAAAUCUGAAAAAACAAAAUUUGAUGAGAACAAUGAAGCGUAAAUGUAAACAACAAUCAACGGUUAAAUUUUGAUUUAUGAUUUAUAUGAUUAUAUUGGCGAAUUUCGAAGUUAAGCUCUUCAUGAAAGUUAUAAAGCUUGUCAUUACGAACAUUUAUAUAUUUUUUCUAUAUACUUAUUUAGUAUUAUGUUUUUCAUUUGAUUAUUUAUUGGUUUAAAAUAUAUUUUCCUUAACUGGUAACUGGUCAGGUCAUAUUACCUGUUAAUAUUAUCGGGUCAAAUCAUUUUACCCGUUUAAUUUAACGGAUGUUACACGACACGAUCCGUUAAGAUAUCAGAUAUAACAUAAAAAACACAACACGAAUAUCAAGUCUGACUCUUUGCACUAUUGUGUGAGUCCGAAUUGCGUCAACUUCCUAAUUUAACAUCAAAGUUUCCAACAACCAUUCUUCCAAAUUGGUGAACCCGUCCCAUAUUCAAACUCCAAAGUCCAAACUGUCCAAAAAAAUCAAGUUAGUUGAAAAAUAUAAUUUCUUUUAUAUAAGGUAGAUAGCCCAUGAGGUUCAUUUACUCUGGCCAGUUUUGACGCGACUGGUUUAAUCGGACGUGGUAGGUUUCAGACCGUUCAAAACAUCUCUUGCUGUUCUACCCCUCAACCCCAUCGACGUCACUCAAAUCUUCUUCUUUUUUCUUUCUCAUUUUGGACUUCCCAGAAAAAAAUAGACCAUAUUAAUGAGAGCCCAUAAUUCCAACAAAAUAGAGGUGAUGGCCAAUUAUUUUAUUCAUUCAUCAGCUCCAUACUCUCUGUAAACAUCUCCUCCACACUCUCCAUCUCUCUCUGACUGUUAGUCUUCCAAUUCAUCCAUCGCUUGGGGACUGUCAUUGGGUUAAUUUGCAGGUAACUCCAGUAUAUGAGUCUCUCUCUCUCUCUCUCUCCAACUCUCUCCGACUGUUAGUCUUCCAACUCAUCCAUCGCUUGGGGAGUGUCAUUGGGUUAAUUUGCAAGCAACUCCAGUAUGUUAGUCUCUCUCGCUCUCUCUCUCUGUUUUACCAUGCUGCAAAGUUUUUGGGUAUGAUUUUCUAAACAUAAUUGGUUGGUUGGAUAAUAUAGAUUGGAUACCAGGAAUAUGAAAUGAUUCAUAACUAUCGACUGAUGAGUGGUUGUUGUCGUAUUAAGCUACUGAUAAGUUAGCGCUUUAGUUUUUCUAUACGUAUGUCUGUAUAGAUAUAUAGUUGGUUUUCUGUCGAUCUGCAUUUUGUAAGAGUUGAACAGAGCUCGACGUAAAACCCGAGUUCUGGGCGGAUGUCUAGUUAUUUUAGCAACUGCUCAGUAUGGUGAUUAAGUUACUUUUUACUAU